AACGAACGCUGGCGGCAGGCUUAACACAUGCAAGUCGAGCGAGACCUUCGGGUCUAGCGGCGGACGGGUGAGUAACGCGUGGGAACGUGCCCUUCUCUACGGAAUAGCCCCGGGAAACUGGGAGUAAUACCGUAUACGCCCUUUGGGGGAAAGAUUUAUCGGAGAAGGAUCGGCCCGCGUUGGAUUAGGUAGUUGGUGGGGUAAGGGCCCACCAAGCCGACGAUCCAUAGCUGGUUUGAGAGGAUGAUCAGCCACACUGGGACUGAGACACGGCCCAGACUCCUACGGGAGGCAGCAGUGGGGAAUCUUAGACAAUGGGGGCAACCCUGAUCUAGCCAUGCCGCGUGAGUGAUGAAGGCCUUAGGGUUGUAAAGCUCUUUCAGCUGGGAAGAUAAUGACGGUACCAGCAGAAGAAGCCCCGGCUAACUCCGUGCCAGCAGCCGCAGUAA
rnacentral:rRNA from 1 species